rnacentral:rRNA from 1 species
AGAGUUUGAUCCUGGCUCAGGAUGAACGCUGGCGGCGUGCCUAAUACAUGCAAGUUGAGCGCUGAAGGUUGGUACUUGUACCGACUGGAUGAGCAGCGAACGGGUGAGUAACGCGUGGGGAAUCUGCCUUUGAGCGGGGGACAACAUUUGGAAACGAAUGCUAAUACCGCAUAAAAACUUUAAACACAAGUUUUAAGUUUGAAAGAUGCAAUUGCAUCACUCAAAGAUGAUCCCGCGUUGUAUUAGCUAGUUGGUGAGGUAAAGGCUCACCAAGGCGAUGAUACAUAGCCGACCUGAGAGGGUGAUCGGCCACAUUGGGACUGAGACACGGCCCAAACUCCUACGGGAGGCAGCAGUAGGGAAUCUUCGGCAAUGGACGAAAGUCUGACCGAGCAACGCCGCGUGAGUGAAGAAGGUUUUCGGAUCGUAAAACUCUGUUGGUAGAGAAGAACGUUGGUGAGAGUGGAAAGCUCAUCAAGUGACGGUAACUGACCCAGAAGGGACGGCUAACUACGUGCCAGCAGCCGCGGUAAUACGUAGGUCCCGAGCGUUGUCCGGAUUUACUGGGCGUAAAGCGAGCGCAGGUGGUUUAUUAAGUCUGGUGUAAAAGGCAGUGGCUCAACCAUUGUAUGCAUUGGAAACUGGUAGACUUGAGUGCAGGAGAGGAGAGUGGAAUUCCAUGUGUAGCGGUGAAAUGCGUAGAUAUAUGGAGGAACACCGGUGGCGAAAGCGGCUCUCUGGACUGUAACUGACACUGAGGCUCGAAAGCGUGGGGAGCAAACAGGAUUAGAUACCCUGGUAGUCCACGCCGUAAACGAUGAGUGCUAGAUGUAGGGAGCUAUAAGUUCUCUGUAUCGCAGCUAACGCAAUAAGCACUCCGCCUGGGGAGUACGACCGCAAGGUUGAAACUCAAAGGAAU